ACAAAUUAUUUGUUGUUAGUUGGGGAGUUUUUUUUUCACUCCUAGCUCAGCUAUUAGACAAUUCUUUAGUAAACGUUGAAUUGUUCAGCUAAUAGCCCACCCUAGAAACGUUUGCAGAAUACACAGCCUGCUACAGUACACUUGUGAAAAACAAAAUGUCUCCAGCUGUCGAAACACAGAAUAUCUGAGAGGCUUUUAUUUAUUAAAAUGCAGGGUUAAUAAUAGUAAUACUUUUUCCUUUUUCCACUUGUUAAAUAGCCUGGAUUUUUACGCCCAUCUCGUUCCUCGCCCUCUUCAAAAUGUCGUGCUCCGCCUGAGUGUCUCGCUUGUGGAUAUGGCAGCCUAUUCGUUGUGCAUCAAGAAUUCAGCAAAGCAAGUUUGUUUGAAGGUCUGGUUAUUCACAAGCAAAUAGUAAUGUGCUCUAAACCACUCUGGUGGCAAACAAACUUUGCUGCCCUGUUUUCAAUCGUCCACAUGGCUGGGAGAACCUAUUCAAAUACAGAGAGCUGUGAAAGCCUGUCUGCAGAUGAGGUCCCAAUGAAGAGCAGCGGUUCUCAGCCCUGGUCCUGGGGACUCAAAGAGCACAAAGUACUCUGUAGCCACCAGGUUAUAUCAGCUGUGUUGGUGAACCCCUCCCGCAUCUGAACUGGCAGACAGCGGGCACAGCCUGAUCAUAGGUGAGAUGUCACUUGGUCGGGUAAACAAGUUUAAAGACUACUUACCCAAACGCAUUGUAGUUUACCUAAAAUAACAGAAAGUAUCCUCCCUGUCAGAAGCAUCUGUGUUGGCAGAUGAGUUUGUGUUGACGCACGAGCGUGUUUUCGGCUCAAACUGAGAGUAGAGCCACUGAGUUGCUACUUUUAGCCCUAGUCGGCCAGCAGUAUAUCAAGCACGCCAGAAAAAUGAGCGUCUCUGUUUCUAUUGCCAUAAGGUGGGACAUAUGAUUAAUGAUUGCUUCCUGCUAAACGCAAACAAGGGAUGCCUAUUCGUGCCAAGCCGCCAACAGGUGUUGGUCUAAUUCGUACGGUUGUGAGGUCUGAAACGAAACAGGUGCCUCAGGGUAACUGUUGUUUGAAAGACCCAGUCCCCGACCGCAGUUUAUUCUUGAUUCUUGAUUCUUUUGGGUACUGACCCAAAAUACAAAGAACAUUACAUUUUAAAGAGAGAACAUAAAAUGACGUCAUCAGUUUCACACACUCUUUCCGAUCCCCACAAUAGCGCAGUGUCUUCAGGUCUGGAAAUCUUCUUCUACUCCCCUCAUAAAACAACAUUCCAAUCUGUCUAAAAGAUAUACUUUUCUCCACUAAUGGAACACAAAACAAACAUUCUUAUCUGUCUGAAAAGAUACAUCAUCCUUCUCCCUUAAACCCGCAAGGUACAGACAAUUAAUUUGUUAUAAUAGUAUUAGAAUAAAUGGUUCUAAUUAAAAAUGUAUACAUAAUUAAUCAUUUCAACUAUAAUUUCCUCCAACAGUACUCAGUCAUGGCUUUUGGGAUGCGGAAUGCACCAGCCACUUUCCAACGACUGGUUAACCCUGUAUUAGCUGGUGUUCCCAAUUGUAGUGCAUAUCUUGAUGAUCUAGUGAUUUAUUUGUCUGAGUGGUCAAAUCAUGUUGACUCUCUAAGGGUAGUAUGUGAACGGUUGGCAGCUGCUUCUCUAACCCUGAACUUGGCAAAGUGCGAGUUUGGGAAGGCUACUGUUACCUAUCUCGGUAAAGAGGUCGGCCAUGGACAGGUGCGCCCUGUUGAUACCAAGGUUUUGGCUAUAACUGCAUUUCCCACACCUACCACCAGACGAGAGCUUUUUAGGGAUGAUUGGAUACUACCGUAUUUUCUGUAAGAACUUCUCUGCAGUAGUUGCUCCAUUGACUGAUUUGCUCAGUCCGGCAAGAUCGUUUGAGUGGUCCCCUGAUUGUCAGGUAGCUUUGAAUCUGCUAAAACACUCUUAUGUAAUACCCCUGUACUUGCUGCUCCGGAUUUUGAACAACCAUUUAAACUUGAGGUAGAUGCUAGUGCCAGAGGUGCUGGUGCUGUUCUACUGCAGCAGGACAAGAGUGGAGUGGAUCAUCCCGUUUGUUAUUUUUCUCGUAAGUAACAAAUGUCAGACAAAUUAUCUAACUGUUGAACAAGAAGCUCUUGCUUUGUUGUUAUCUCUGCAACACUUUGAAGUACCGUAAUUGCUGGACUAUAAGCCGCUAGUUUAUUCCCACGCUUUGAACCUCGCGGUUUAUACAAUGACGCUAAUUUAUGGAUUUUUCCCGCUUUCACAAGAUUCAUGCCGCCAAAAAACUGAGCACAUAAUGUGACGUAAAAUCGAGCACGCUCAAACUUCCCAUCAUUCUGAUUACGGUAGUAAUUUUGUCACCCUCAUCAUGGCAAAGACACGGAGAAAUGCAUAUGAUGCAGCUUUCAAGUUGAAGGCGAUCGAUCUGGCUGUUGGAAAAGGAAGGAGAGCUGCUGCACGGGAGCUUGGCCUUAAUGAGUCGAUGAUAAGAUGUUGGAAACAGCAGCGUGAGGAACUGACUCAGUGCAAAAAGACAACAAAGGCUUUCAGAGGGAAGAAAAGCAGAUGGCCCAAAGUAUUUGCAGCCACUCGACAUCAGUGUAAAUCGUGCAUUUAAGGUGGCGCUCCUUGUUCAGUGGGAGUCUUGGAUGACAAGUGGGGAGAAAUCCUUCACUAAAAUGGGCUGCAUGCGAAGAGCAACUUAUGGUCAGGUCUGCCAGUGGGUCCUGACAGCGUGGAGCAUUGUCAAAAAAUCCACUAUCAUCAACGGGUUUCGAAAGGCUGGACUGCUGUGUGUUGAAGGGGCAGCAUGAGCUCAGCGGGGUAUUUGCCUCCGGAUGAAAGUGACGAGAGCGACAAUGAAAACGAUCCAACAUCGGAUGAAGCAAUUCUGAGGCUAUUCAUCUCCUACACCGAAGGAGAUGACUUCAGUGGUUUCAGUGCACAGGAGGAGGAAGAUAGUGACCAAGUUCAUUUGUUUCAAUGUACCGGUAGGCACCUGCGGCUUAUAGACAUGUGCGGCGUAUUUAUGUACAAAAUACAUAUUUUUUUAUAAUUCAGUGGGUGCGGUUUAUAUUCAGGUGCGCUUAAUAGUCCAGCAAUUACGGUAUAUAUUGGUUCCAGUGCCCUACCAGUAAUCAUAUAUACUGACCAUAACCCCGUAGUGUUUCUCCACCGGAUGUACAACCAGAACCAGCGACUUAUGCGUUGGGCACUUAUUGUGCAAAAUUAUAAUUUGGAGAUCCGCCAUAAAAAAGUUCUGAAAAUAUAUUAGCAGAUGCUUUGUCUCGUGUGUAAAUGUGAUGAUUUUUGGUAUGUUUUGUAAAUACUGUGGUCGCAAUCACCAUGGGUUGCUCUUUUAAGGGUGGGAGUGUUACGGAUACAGGUAUCCUGUGUGUGUGUAUCCUGUGUGUGUGUGUGUAUUUCUUUUCUCUCCUUCUCCCCCCUCCUCACAGGUGGCAAUCAUCAUUCCCCAAUCAGUCACCAUGCAGUCAUCAAUCAGAAGACAUACCUCCUGUUUCCAUUACCCAAUCACAUCCCCUUUCCCUUCCCAUUCAGUUUCCUCUGGAGCUCAAUCUCUGUCUCGACCCCACUGUGGUUCAAUAUCUCUGUGUCUCUCUCAAUCUCUCGCUAUAUCUAUCUCUCUUUGGAUUGAGCCGUCUUUUGUUUUUGCAACUACAUGUCACUUUGUCCUCACCUGUGAGUAUUGUUUUGAUUAUGGUUUUUGACUAUUUGUUUGAUGGUGGGAAAAGGGGGUACCAAGCCAAGUCGCCCAUGGGCAUACAUUACCCGUAGGAAAACUUUGUCUAAAUACCCUAGUUAGAACUGGGCGGACCACCUGCUGUAUUUUUGGUUAGUUAGUUACCUGUAUUGAAGUAGGCUAGUCUAGCUUAGGGGUGUUUUUGGAUAUUAGUGAUAGAUUUGCCCCCCCCCUUUACCGUGUGUUUAGAAAUAAACCAUGAGAGUUUGAUGGUAAAUUUAGUUGUCUGUAGUUAUUUGUUCUCACUGUUAUAAUUUGCAUGAGUUAUGUUACGGGUCUCGUUGCCACCCCCCUAGACUGCAGAGCCAAUGGGAUUCGUAACAGCUGGUUAGGAGACACCGCUAGAGACACUGAUUGUGAUGAACUGAGAGAAUAUUAGGGUAGCACUGUGAUUCAUUAAUCAUAUGCGGUCUUUCCUGAUUCUCUGUUCUUACCUCCUUUCCCUUUCGGUCUUCUACAUCUCUCACCCCACCUCUUUUUAAUAAUACACACCAUAUGUGCAUUGAAGUACAGAUUGAACUUGUAUUUAUAAUAUUACAAUUAUAAUAUUUAUAAUGCAUGUAUUAUCUAUUUAUAACACCUGGAUAAUGAACUUCUUUCAAUAAAGCGUUUAACUUUCUCCACUGGUUGAAAUUAAGUAUCUCAUUGAAAUACUACACCUACCUUGUGUCCUCAGAUUAAUGCAGAUGAAGGGAGUUAGAUAUGCAUAGGAAGUGUAGUGUACUGUUUUUUCUUCUGUAUAUAUGAAUUACUAAUCAGCCUUUACUUAAAUCAUGUUUCUAGUCUAUUGCAUAGUUACAAUGUGUAAUCAUCGCACCUUUAUUUGCCAAGGCUACUAUGUGGGGAUCUAAUGCGUGGUAAUAACUACAUGUAUAUAGGACUUGCAUCCUUGGCACAAAGUUACUACAUUCUACUGAAUCCAUAGGCUUCAUUAAUGUCAUUCAGACUUGAAGUUGAUACAACUAUGAUAACAGUGGUUCAUAGGUUCUGAAGUAAUAUUCAUACCAAACGUUUUAGGGUCCAUACACAGAUUGCCUACAUACUGUAGCUAGCUACACAUCCAUAGGCAUACAGUUAUUUUUAUCCUCCACUACACAAUAAGCAAGCAAAUAGUUAAGUUAGCUUGCUAUGUUACUUCAGCUGCAUUGCAUGAAAAAUAACCAAGGCAAGCUUACACAAUUGUACAUUACAUUUGCAGUAAAUGCUUUAGCUAGCUAGAUUCUUUACAUCCACUGUUUCACAGACGACAGUACCUAAAACAUUAAACACGAAUGACAAUUUCAUACUAAUGUCAUAACACUAGCUAGUUGGCUAACUUGUUAAAUAAUGAUUUUUGUAACUUAAAUUAUGCACAAUCGUUUCUCUACAAUAUCUAACAUAUUCCUCUCAAUUGCACUUUUUUUUUUGCUUGACUCGUUAUGAAGUUAUAAUUACUUACAUUUGCUUCCACCGUAAUGUUGUGUCAUCCAUCUUUGCUGAAGAAAGUCCCCAGCGAUGGGUGGCUCGUGUCAAAUUCGACAUUGGAACCACUCGAUAUGAUUGGUCAUAUAAAAACCUUGGGACCCAAAUGCAUAAUUAGUGUGCUAACUCCCCGUUGUAGUGGUCUGUAGCAAUGAAGCCGUGUACCUCUAAGUCCCGCGGCGUAAGCUCACAACUUUUUACCUCUUAAGGAUCCGCCCCUUUAAAAAUGUUUUUUUGCCUAAAAUUACAUACCCAAAUCUAACUGCCUGUAGCUCAGGCCCUUAUGCAUAUUCUUGGUACCAUUUGAAAGGAAACACUGAAGUUUGUGGAAAUGUGAAAGGUAUGUAGGAUGUAUAAAAGCAGCCUUUGGUCUUCCUCUCUGCUCAGGUAAGAGCAGAGCGGAAGAACAAUUUAGGACGGUUGUGAGAGCAUGCUUGUUUGAAAUGGAAAAGCGUUGUGGUAGCUUUUGAUAAAGAAGAACAAAGAUGAAGCAGCUGCUUUAUAAGUGGGAUGCACUGUUGAGCGCUACGUACCGAGGGGUUCGUGCUGAUUGUACGAAGAUUGGGAGCUUGAGUCGGUUCAAAAUGGCGGAAAAAGGGGAGAUGGUUUGUUUUAGAAGAAUGGUAGAAAGUGUAAGCAGAGUGAGCUGAAGACAGGAGGAGAAAUUGAAGUGAAUGAGGUUGAAGUAUCAGAGGUGGUGUGGUGAAGGAGCCCGAGGUUUGCACCGAGGGUCAGGACAGUAGUCUGAGUCUGACAGUAGGAGUGACGUUUUUGGAAAAAGUGUCCCUUGCCUUUUGGCUGAUCCAUUUGUGGUUUCAGUGUGGGUGAAAACAGAGUUGGGUACUGUGGAAUCGGUGAGGGUAAUUAGAAGUGGUCUUGUGAUAAUUGUUUGUAUUUCUGCUGGUCAGAGGGAGAAGGCGCUCCACAUUAAACGAAUGGGGGCAAGAAAUGUGAAUUGUUUUGCUAUCGAGAAAAGGAUGCCAUUGAAAGGAGUGGUUACUGGGGUAGCAGUAAAUGUAAAAGUUGACCAACUGAGGGAAGAUUCCUGGUGUUUGUGAUACUCGUCAUUUGGUGCGACGCAGACAAGGUGGUGUGAGUGGUGAAACAGAAGAGUCAUUUUGUUCUUUUGAGUUUUGAUGUUGAGUCUUUGAUGUUAGGAUAUAUAAGUUAUCCUGUACAAGCUUUUGUGCCAAAUACAUUACGUUGUUACAGGUAUCAGGAUUAUGGGCAUGUGGCAGCAGGAGGGAGGUUCCUAGGUGUGAUGUGUGCAGAAGGGCAUGACACAAAGAAAUGUGUAGCAUUGGGGAAAGUAGUGGUAUGUGUUAAUUGUAGGGGUGCCAUGGGGCUGGGGAUCAGAAAUGUCCCGUGCGAGAGAGGCAGGUUGAGGUUUCCAGGGUUAGAGUAGCGCAGAAGUUGUCAUUUGCUGAGGCAGUGAAGAAAGUAGAGGAAGAAGGGUCAAGGGGGAGGGAUCCUGAGAGGAGUGUUGAGAGUAGUAGAUCUGUACGAGGACAGAGGGAUAGGCCAACCAGUGAUAUGUUUCAGUAAUAUUGGAUUUAUAGCAAUUAUUAUAAACUGUACUGCAGGGAUGGAACGUAAGUCGCAGAAAAUUGAGGUUGUGGUGGCAGCUGCAGAGAGGCAUUUGGGUGUGCGAGACUUUACAUCAGAAGAGUAACAGGGUGUGUUAAGUGGUGUCCUAUCCUUUCAGGUUGUUGGCCUGAGGUAGGACUAAAUAGAUUUAAAUAUGGAGUAGGGUGGUGUUCAUUUUUUUAUUGUGAGUGUAGUGUUAGAUUGCAUAGUAUUUGUUUAUUUAUAAAUGUUUUCAAGUAUAGUGUAAGGGAGUUGUACUACAGUUUAGUAGGUGGCGGCAAUGCAACAUUUAUUGGAUGCCAACCACCGUUAAACCUCAUUGAAGUAGUAGUUCAGGUAAGAGCUUUGCACCUGGAAGGUCCUGUCACUGGUUUAGUUCUGUGAAAAACAAUUUUGUAACCACGCUGUCUUGAAGAAAUGUUUGCGGUGUGGCCGAUUGUUCUGAAUGUUAUUCAGUUUGACUUUCAGUGAGUGUAUUCAUACAGUAUGUGACAUUCAAUAUGUUCAUUAUGUAAAGCCACCACAAUAAUGUCCGUUUUUUUUCAGUUUGUUUCUUUGGAGAUGCUUUGCUGGUUUGAGAUCCAGGCAGUUUAUUGGCAGUGCCCUCCAAUAAGUUACUAUCUUGUCUCAUCGCUGCAUCUCCCUCACGGACCCGGGAGAGGCGAAGGUCGAGAGCCAUGCGUCCUCCGAAACACAACCCAACCAAGACACACUGCUUCUUGACACAAUGCCCACUUAACCCGGAAGCCAGUGUGUCGAAGGAAACGCCGUACACCUGGCUACCGUGUCAGCGUGCACUGUGCCCGGCCCACCACAGGAGUUGCUAGUGCGUGAUGGGACAAGGACAUCCCUGCCGGCCAAACCCUCCCCUAACCCAGAUGACGCUGGGCCAAUUGUGCACUCUAACUCGAUCCCAGACUCUCUAGUGGUACAGCUAGCUGAGAUACAGUGCCUUAGACCACUGCGAGGGAGGCCCAAGUAUCUUUACUUUUACUCAAGUAUGACAAUUGUGUACUUUUCCCACCACUGACAGUAUUGUUUGUCACUGUUUUUGGUCAUCAUGUGAUGUGUAUUUCUGUCACACACAAACCUAAUCCUCUAAGCUUUAAUAAACUUUUCUUGUUCUUUGUC